UCCGGCGGUGGGUUGAGGCUGUUGCGAACGAGAAGGUGGAAAAGUGUUGCGGGCAAAGGGAAAGCUGGCGUCCGCGCUGGGACAAUAGGAGAUGGGGCCGAGGGGGCGGUGUUGCGCUGUGGAUGCCGCGGUGGUUAAGACUUCGCUGUGGGGCGAUGGGAGGGCGUUGUGCUCAAAGUGAAACUCUGACAGCGCUGAGACUAUUGGCUGUGGGCGACGGGAGGGCGUUUCUCACACAAGGCCGUUUCUCACUGGACUUGGCUUUGAGACGUUGGGAGAGCGCUGCGAACAAAGUGGAAGAUGGAAGAUGGCGGCAGCGGAAAAGCUACUGGCGGUGGGACGGUGGACAGCUUCGAGGGCAGAGUUAAACCCGGCGGGGGGAUGAGACCAUGGGCGAUCGGACGGUGGACGGUGUGGUCCGCACAGGGGACCCUGACAGCGGCGACGAGACCAUUCACUGUGGCAAGAUGGAAAGGCGUUGUGCCCAGUGAGACACGAGGGCAGCGAUGUGACCUUCGGUUAGAGUUGAUGGGACGGCAUUGCGGACACAGUGAAAGCGGGUCUAGGCGAUGAGACAAUGGGCUUGGGGCGGUGGAACCGCGGUGUGGUCAUAGUUAAAGCCGGCGAUGGGCGUGAGACUGUGAGAGAUGGAAGAUGCGAGGGCCUUGAGGACAAAGGGGACCAGGGGGAGCCUUUUUGGACAAGGGGAGAAACAGCCAAGGCGAAGGGACCCUGGGAGUGCGUAGCAGACAGAGAACUCAGCGGCGGUCAGGGGACAAAUAACCGUGGGACGGUUUGGGGCACUUCCUGGGGGUAAGAGGGGACCAGGGAACUGGCGCCGCUGGAAUGCUCUAGAAUUUUCAGGUGUCUUUUAAGUAUUCGGUCAUGAAGUGGGGCUUACCACAUCUGAGAGUUUUUAAUGACCCUACAGCAUGGGCUGUCUGUUACAUUUAAAGAAGUGGAGGAGACAAGAGCAGGUAAACUGUAUGGAUACAUGCAGCGUAUUCCUAUAACGUCGACAUUCCGCAUGUCUUCCUUCUGUUUUAAAUUCCUCAAAGGCAAGGGCCAGAAAACUAGUAUUCUGCAGGCUUGUUUUGCAGUAAAUGUCUCCAGGGUGCUCUGCAAUUUUUCAUAUGUGUUGUCACAUAAAUCAAGUUGACAUGGAAACUGUCUCGUUGACUUUAGUUUUAUAAAUAAUGUAUUUCCCAUAUAAAAGUUUAAAGAAAUAGAUAAUGCAUAAAUCAAUUUUAAAAUAGC